AGCAGCCGCGGUAAUUCCAGCUCCAAUAGCGUAUAUUAAAGUUGUUGCAGUUAAAAAGCUCGUAGUUGAAUUUCGGGAUCAUCAGGUUGGUCGUGCCUCCGGUAUGUACUUGCUUCGGUGGUCCCUCCUUCUUGAAGAACCGUAAUGGCAUUAAUUUGUUGUUGCGGGGAAACAGGACUGUUACUUUGAAAAAAUUAGAGUGUUUAAAGCAGGCAAUCGCUUGAAUACAUUAGCAUGGAAUAAUGAAAUAGGACGUUCGAUCCUAUUUUGUUGGUUUCUGGGAUUGACGUAAUGAUUAAUAGGGAUAGUUGGGGGCAUUAGUAUUCAAUUGUCAGAGGUGAAAUUCUUGGAUUUAUUGAAGACUAACUACUGCGAAAGCAUUUGCCAAGGAUGUUUUCAUUAAUCAAGAACGAAAGUUAGGGGAUCGAAGACGAUCAGAUACCGUCGUAGUCUUAACCAUAAACUAUGCCGACUAGGGAUCGGAUGAUGUUAAUUUUUAA
rnacentral:rRNA from 1 species